rnacentral:rRNA from 1 species
UACGUAGGGUGCGAGCGUUAAUCGGAAUUACUGGGCGUAAAGCGUGCGCAGGCGGUAAUGUAAGACAGAUGUGAAAUCCCCGGGCUUAACCUGGGACCUGCAUUUGUGACUGCAUUGCUGGAGUGCGGCAGAGGGGGAUGGAAUUCCGCGUGUAGCAGUGAAAUGCGUAGAGAUCCGGAAGAACACCGGUGGCGAAGGCGGUUAGCUGGGCAGUUGCUGACACUGAGGCGCGACAGCGUGGGGAGCAAACAGG